GUUCGACUUCCACGAAAUGGGCAAUCGAUUGAUGCGCAUUGCGUUGGAGCGCAAUUUGGUUGGUUGGGCGGGUGAGCGGGUGAGCGGUGUGGCGGUGAAGGGUGAAAGCAAAAGUGGGAUUUGAAGUUUGUUUAAGGGUGUCUGAAGCACUGGAUUUGAGUGAUGGCGUAGGUAAAAGGCGUCAUCACAAGCUACUAAAGCAUUUUGCGGAUGUGUACGCAUACUUAUACGUAGAAUUCACGCAUGGCGGUGGUGCCAAUAUUUGUUUGAUACGAUAUUUUUAAUAACAUGAAUUCACUGAUACGCCCAGCUGCCACGGUUUAUUUUAAUAUUUUGUGGGUUGACGAUUUUUCAAAACAUGACCGAUUUUCAAGAACCGAUUUGAGGAUUUCUCAGUUCAACUACCUGGCAACACAGGAACCGAGUACGGGAACGCUUUCGGAUAAAUUCUGGAAAAAAACUUGCUGGGGAACGCAACUAAUUAAUGAUCUGACAUUGGUCCAGAAUAUUUGUGAAAUUUGAAUUUUUUCGCUAAAAAAGAAUGGUUAUUUGAAACUUU